UUUUUCAACAUGGGAAACUGAAAUCGGGCAUAUCCCUAUGGAAGAAGCUGUCCCUUAGCGAAGAAUAAAACUGUGGACUGACCCCCACCCAUUUGCGAAGAAAGUACUGGGUCUUCAGCUUUCAUUGUUCAGCCGGUGGUCUUUGUGGACAACACCAGGGGCCCCUCCUGCUGAAGACUGUCUGAACUUCCUGAUUUUCACUCCUGUAUAAACCCCCUCCCCCAUUACUACCUUUGUCUCCUUGGGGGAAAAAAAAAUGUUUUUCACUUAAGCAAAAUAAAAACUACCCAGUAUUUGUUUCUGGAGUGAAAUUAUAAACUUCAUUGUACAUUCUUCCUGGCUUUGAUGCUUAUCUUGAAGAGUUCAGUGAAAAUAAAUUGUUUUUAUGAAAGCA